GAAGGACUCCUGGUGGAAGAACUCCUGGAGGAAGGACACCUGGUGGUAGUGGUGGAAGAACUCCUGGAGGGAGGACACCUGGUGGUAGGGGUGGAAGAACUCCUGGAGGGAGGACACCUGGUGGUAGGGGUGGAAGAACUCCUGGAGGGAGGACACCUGGUGGUAGGACUCCUGGAGGAAGGAGACCGCCUGGUGGCUUAAUGGGAGGCACGACCCCUGGUGGUAGGGGUGGAAGAACUCCUGGAGGGAGGACACCUGGUGGUAGGACUCCUGGAGGAAGGAGACCGCCUGGUGGCUUAAUGGGAGGCACGACCCCUGGUGGAAGGACCCCUGGUGGCAGGACUCCCGGUGGAAGAAUUCCUGGAGGAAGGACACCUGGUGGUAGGGGUGGAAGAACUCCUGGAGGAAGGACACCGGGUGGAAGAACUCCUGGAGGCAGAAUUCCCGGGGGGAGAAUUGGUGGCAAGAGACCUGGUGGUUUAACUAUAGGGGGUUUAACAAUGGGGGGUUUCACAACAGGAGGUUUGACAACGGGGGGUUUCACAACAGGGGGUUUGACAACGGGGGGUUUAACAACCGGGGGUUUGACAGUGGGAGGUUUGGGGGCAGGUUUGUGAUGGGGAGGGGGUUUCUCACAGCUACCGCAAUCGAGGACAGGGUUAGCAGUGGAGAAGAAGAACAUGGAAAGGAGAAGGAUAGCAGUGAGCUGAGUGGACUCCAUAGCUGGGUGUGAGUGUCUGUGUAUAAUGGAGGGAGUGGUGUUUUAUAGAGAAUGGAGUGAUAAUAGCUGUGAAAGAGUACAAAAACCCUAAUGUCGCAACACGUGAAUGAGGGUCGGGGAUGAGUGAGUAUCUUCCAAAUUUUGCUAGUUGUCACUCCCAAUCCUAUACAUGAACCUGUCCACCCUCAUCCUCUCAACAAUCUUUUAGCUGCCUGCUUAGCAUUUUACCCUCUCGUCCUUUCACUUUUAGCUUCUAGUAAAUGGUACCAUAUGUAGUCAGGUCCAUUUGUUUCUUCUUUUCUUUUUAAUAACAAAUCGCAUUGUGAUAAAUCCUCGUGUAAUCGUUUUUUGUUGAACAUUAUAAUUUUAUUGUCUAAAUUAUAUCAGCGAUCAUCUCACGAGACCACCAGUCAGUUAGAUGUUUAUUUUUCUUGAAAACUCCUGAAUCUGCAGGCUAUUAUAUAGGAUACAAUUCCCCGUACGUUUCCGGUGACAUUUAAAAAACAAGAUAAAUAAUGCUUCAGAGAAGUGAUUGGUGAUCGGGUCUACUACAAUCGAUACAUAUCUGAGUUUUUCUGUCGGCUAUAAUUAACGGGAAAUGCAGCGUAGCUAGAGCGCACAGAGUAUAGCCUGUAUUAUAUUUUCUGGUGCUUGUGUGCUGCAUACGCAUAAGUUAUAUAUACUCUUCGUAAAUAUUAAAAAGAUAGGGAAGAAAUCAAUUUCAGGACAGUCCAAAACUCGAAGAAAAAUUUUGGCCGCGAGAUUUCAUAUCUUCUUACAAGCAACUGCGACAUGUGUUGUGUAAAAACCCCACAUACACUGCAGUGCUGAGGGAAUUAACAGGACACCAUAAUUAAUUGCUGAUUGUUCCAUAUUUUUAAAUUCAUUAACUUUAUAUAAUUUCAAUAGUAAUUUUUUUUCUCGUGUUUAUGUUAAGCGAUUUGGUAAUAAAGAUGAGUUAUAGGAUUUUAAAAUUGAAAUGAGAACAAUUUUUCGAGUGCUGUUUAUUAUUUCGAAAAUUGAGAAAUUAUGGUCUUGAUCAUUGGGCCGUUAAAAAAAAUCGAGUCAAAUCAAACAACAGUCUAUUCUGGAUAUAGUUCAUGCGGACUGUGAUGGCUCCGUGGCCAUCCCAAUUUCAAAGGGUUACUACCUUGAAUCUUGAUACUCGUAGGAAAAUCAUAAUAAUAAAUUCUUGAAUCUUAAUAAAAAGUCAGGGCUAAUCAACGGAUUUACUAUUGAUUUAGAGCAAGUCCAAUAGGUUACCUAAACUUGCUCCUAAACUCACAUUUAAGUAAUGUACUGAAAAAAUGCACUCCAACACUCUCCUAGUGGUCACAACCUCAAAUUUCUUAGCUAUCACCUAUUUAUAAAUAACCCCUAGCCAUUACCUAUUUAAUAUUUAUGAAUAAAAUAAUCAUCUCUCUCCGUCUUUCUUUGUCUUUUCCCUCACUUUCCCCUUCUCAAUAACCUUAGGAGAACAAAUAUAGAAAUUACUAUUGGAGUUGACACUAAAAAUAGAUUACCUAAAUCAGUAAGACUCACUAGGAUUCAUUAUUUUAUAUUAUUAAUAAAUAAUGAGAUACGUAACCUAUUGGACUUGCUCUUAGUUCUAUCUUGAGACGGGUAUGCUUUACUUGAAGUACUCAAUAACAGUUAUAUGAUACAUUUUUACUCGUGUAAUAGAACAAGUUACAGAACACAGGCCUUGUUUAAAAAUGAGGAACUCAUCGAUGUUAUGGAACCCAAUUUUAAGGAUGCACUUGCUUGCACUCAAUAUACAGAGAAGAACGUCCGAACCAACUAUAUUAUUUUCACAGAAAGACUGUUUCAUCAUCAUCAACUAUAUUAUUGACAAUGGACGAUCGCUAACCAAAAGAUGUCAAACUUGUAGGGUGUUUGGCUAUGCUUUUUUAACUCAGUUUUUUAUUUCUAAAUUGCUGUUUAUGUAAGAAAAAAAGACAACUCAGAAGUUGAAAUUUCCCUGUUUGGACUUUGGACACCCUUACAGUAAAUUGAAAAAAAUAAAAACUACACGAUCACAUUUAAAUAGAAUCAUUAUUAAUGAGAGACGAGGGGAAAUUACAAGAGUUGAUAUCAGAUACAUCUAUGCAUGCAUGCAAAGCACCCAUCACUUGUCUUCCGUAGAGGGCAGCUGCAGAAAAUAUAUCAUACAUAAUAAAUGAAAGAAUGAUCCAUCACUUAAUAUGUAUAUAUAGAUAAAUUAUUCGUAGCGUACUUGAUUGUCUAGAGAGCACAUGUGAAAUCAGAAGGAGGUGGUUUCCCGCAAGUGACGAGGAGCUGCAGAGCGAGGGGAACAUAUAUAUUUAGACUGAGAAGCUUGAGUUUCAAUGUAUCACACAAGCACACGGCUGCUUCCAGCUCUGCCAAUCCACCAAUGAUUGGGCAGCAUUGAUUUGCGGUGGGAUCACCGAGGCCAAUAUGCACCAACCCGCCUAGAAGAUCAACGCAUGCACCCAGUUUUAGGGUAUCGAUUGGGCACAUGGCUGUGCUUGGGGAUGGUGAAGGUGACAUCGAUGGUGGCGGGCAUGAUAUAGGAUUCCCAGGAGAUGGCGGUUCCAUCAUAGGAGGAAGUACUGGUGGCAUGAUGCCUGGUGGAAGCACUGGAGGAACGGUCACAGGAGGAAUGGCCACUGGCGGCAUGACAACUGGAGGAAGAGCGGCUGGUGGUGGAGUUACGGGGGAUAGAACCGGUGGUUUGAUAGUGGGUGGAAGAGCUACUGGUGGGAGAGUUACGGGGGGUAGAAGUGGCGGUUUAAUAGUGGGUGGAAGAGCUACUGGUGGAAGAGUAACGGGAGGCUUCACGACAGGAGGGGUGAUAGGAGGGUUAACACUAGGUGGUAGGGUUCCUGGUGGCUUGAUGAUGGGGGGAAGAGUGACAGGUGGUUUUAGGGGUGGAAGAGUUACAGGAGGCUUGACAAUAGGUGGAAGGGUUGGAGGAAGAGUGACCGGAGGCUUGACAAUAGGUGGAAGGGUCGGAGGAAGAGUGACCGGAGGCUUGACAAUUGGAGGAAGAAUGACCGGAGGCUUGACAAUUGGAGGCUUGACAAUUGGAGGAAGAAUGACCGGAGGCUUGACAAUUGGAGGCUUGACAAUUGGAGGAAGAAUGAACGGAGGCUUGACAAUUGGAGGAAGAAUGACCGGAGGCUUGACAAAAGGUGGAAGGGUUGGAGGUGGAGUGACUGGAGGCUUGACAACAGGUGGAAGGGCCGGAGGCUUGACUAUUGGUGGAAUAGUUCCUGGUGGUUUCACGGGAGGAGGAACUGUGACAGGUGGCUUGACAGCUGGGGGAGGAGUGACAGGCGGUUUGAUUAUAGGUGGUUUUACUACUGGAGGUUUAACAUGAGGGGGUUUGAC
rnacentral:lncRNA from 1 species